GACAGAGGGUGCAAACGUUGUUCGGAAUUACUGGGCGUAAAGCGCGUGUAGGCUGCUUGGAAAGUCGGAUGUGAAAGCCCUGGGCUCAACCUAGGAAGUGCAUUCGAAACUUCCGAGCUGGAGCGCUGGAGAGGAAGGCGGAAUUCUCGAUGUAGAGGUGAAAUUCGUAGAUAUCGAGAGGAGCACCGGUGGCGAAGGCGGCCUUCUGGACAGUAACUGACGCUGAGACGCGAAAGCGUGGGGAGCAAACAGG
rnacentral:rRNA from 1 species